UACGUAGGGGGCUAGCGUUGUCCGGAAUCACUGGGCGUAAAGGGCGCGUAGGCGGCCCGAUAAGGUUGCGGUGAAAGCCCGGGGCUCAACCCCGGGUCGGCCGUGGCAACUGUCGGGCUCGAGCACUGUAGAGGCAGGUGGAAUUCCGGGUGUAGCGGUGGAAUGCGUAGAGAUCCGGAAGAACACCGGUGGCGAAGGCGGCCUGCUGGGCAGUAGCUGACGCUGAGGCGCGAAAGCGUGGGGAGCAAACAGG
rnacentral:rRNA from 1 species